rnacentral:rRNA from 1 species
GAAUAUUGGCCAAUGGGGGGACCCCUGUUCCAGCCUUGCCCCGUGUGUGAAGAAGGCUUUUUGGUUGUAAACACUUUUAAUCGGGGAGGAGGCGUCUUUGUUCAUUCCCAAGGCGUCUUGGCCGUUCCCCGCAGACUACCACCCGCUUAACCCUGUGCCAGCGCCCGCGGUAAUACAGAGGGUGCAAGCGUUAAUCGGAUUUACUGGGCGUAAAGCGCGCGUAGGUGGCCAAUUAAGUCAAAUGUGAAAUCCCCGAGCUUAACUUGGGAAUUGCAUUCGAUACUGGUUGGCUAGAGUAUGGGAGAGGAUGGUAGAAUUCCAGGUGUAGCGGUGAAAUGCGUAGAGAUCUGGAGGAAUACCGAUGGCGAAGGCAGCCAUCUGGCCUAAUACUGACACUGAGGUGCGAAAGAAUGGGGAGCAAACA